rnacentral:lncRNA from 1 species
CCAGACUGAAAGUGGAGCCGCUGGAAACUCUCCCCCUCUCUGCCUCCAGCCGGCUGUCUCCACCAGCAGCCAUUGGCCAUCCUGCCCCUGGGUGGCCUCUGCUUUCAGUCUGAGAUCUCCUGUGAUAAACUGGACAAGGCCCAGAGGAGCAUUUUCAUUCAUCCAACCAUUCAACAAGGGACUAUGUUUUAUCCAGCUCUAUAUCCCCAGAGCACAGCACAAGGAAAGAGAUUUAAAAUGGAAUAUGUAGGCAAAUUGCUAGGCACAGUGCUAACAUGUAAGUAGACUCUAAUGCUCUCUGCAAUGAUGCUGAUUGAUGGUGAUGCUGCAGCCUCUCUUGGCACCUGGAAACAUAGACACACACACAUCUUUUCACCCUGCUCCCAGCCUCUGGAUGAUGCCCUCCAAGAUCUCUUCUAACUGCAAGGAACCC